CAGAGGGGGCAAGCGUUGUUCGGAAUUACUGGGCGUAAAGGGCGCGUAGGCGGCCUGUUAAGUCGAACGUGAAAUCCCUGGGCUCAACCCAGGAACUGCGUCCGAUACUGGCAGGCUUGAAUCCGGGAGAGGGAUGUGGAAUUCCAGGUGUAGCGGUGAAAUGCGUAGAUAUCUGGAGGAACACCGGUGGCGAAGGCGGCAUCCUGGACCGGUAUUGACGCUGAGGCGCGAAAGCCAGGGGAGCAAACGGGAUUAGAUACCCCGGUAGUCCUGGCCCUAAACGAUGAAUGCUUGGUGUGGCGGGUAUCGAUCCCUGCCGUGCCGAAGCUAACGCAUUAAGCAUUCCGCCUGGGGAGUACGGUCGCAAGGCUG
rnacentral:rRNA from 1 species